rnacentral:rRNA from 1 species
AUUGAACGCUGGCGGAAUGCUUUACACAUGCAAGUCGAACGGCAGCACGGACUUCGGUCUGGUGGCGAGUGGCGAACGGGUGAGUAAUAUAUCGGAACGUGCCCAGUCGUGGGGGAUAACAUAGCGAAAGCUACGCUAAUACCGCAUACGAUCUACGGAGGAAAGCGCGGGAUCGCAAGACCUCGCGCGAGUGGAGCGGCCGAUAUCAGAUUAGGUAGUUGGUGAGGUAAAGGCUCACCAAGCCGACGAUCUGUAGCUGGUCUGAGAGGACGACCAGCCACACUGGGACUGAGACACGGCCCAGACUCCUACGGGAGGCAGCAGUGGGGAAUUUUGGACAAUGGACGCAAGUCUGAUCCAGCCAUUCCGCGUGCAGGACGAAGGCCUUCGGGUUGUAAACUGCUUUUGUACAGAACGAAAAGGUCUCUAUUAAUACUAGGGGCUCAUGACGGUACUGUAAGAAUAAGCACCGGCUAACUACGUGCCAGCAGCCGCAGUAA